CCAAAGUGAGAGAGGAAUCAGAUUUAACAUAGACAAAAGGAGGAACUCUGGGUUAGGAAGAGGUGUUUAAUUUUAAUUAGGAGUGUUAAUUAGAUGAUGGGGGGGGGCUUUUGAUUGCCGGACUUCAAUACUUUGAUAGCUGAGACCUCAGUCUCAGGAGGAGGAAGCAGCCAAAUGCGGGAAUAGAACUUGGUGGCUGGCUUCAGGAAUGUAAUGGUUCUGGGCAAGGCUGAGGAGAAGGGCAGGGCCUGCUGAAGCCAUGCCCCACAUGUUCAGGCUGGGCAGGGUCGCUUCUAUUUGCACUAUGUGAAUUCCUGGUACCCUAGGAGGUCUGAGGAGGGUGCCAGAUCCCCUAGAAUUGGAAUCACAGAUGGUUAUAAACCCCAUGUGAGUGCUGGGUAUCGAACCCGGGUCCUCUGCACCAACAGCUGGUACUCCUAACUGAGCCAUCUCUCCCCCCUACCAUAUAUUAAUACCUUAAAAGAAGACACAAGUAAAAGGAAGAGCUGUUGUCUUAGAACAUGAGACUCAGCCUUGGGAUAAAUAGAAAGAGAUACUGAGAAAGAAAAGAGGGCUUCUACAACUAAAGAUACCAGUUCUUGCCAAGAGACCGGGUGGGGCGUGUGGGCAGUAAUAGGUCACACAUUAGAGAUGGCAAAAUCGAGGCAACUAGGAAAACUGGGUGCUGCAGCAAGACACUGAGGUACCAGGUGGCAGGGAGAGAGUUUUGGAGGAAGAAGAGCUGCCUCAUCUCACAUGGGAUUCAGAUCGUAGGCUGGUGGUUCAUACGAAGAGAUGCGGCCUGAUAGCAGUAAGCUGGCCAAGACGUUAGCUGACGGCUUCCAUUUUAAAGCCACUUCUACAGCUGGAGAGAUGACAGUGGUUCCAGGCUGGCAAGCACACGCCUACAGAUCAAAACAACAUCUAAACUGACGCUGAGUCCCACAAAAGGCCCCAAGGAAAACAACUUCACUGGGACCCUUCUGAACUUUGCUCUACGGGCUUUGAUCUCCAAAAUGUCGAGAUCUGAGUGUAGUAAGUGGGCCUUGGCUCCAAAAACCAGCCCAAGGAGGUUACCAUGGUUCUUUGUCAACAAACCACCUCAACACACUAUCAGUAUAAAUGGCUUUUGAUUAUCAUUCAAGAGGUGAGGUGGGUGACGUCAUCUACAGGGUGGCGAAGCCGUUGGCACUGGAGUGCUGUGUCAGCACAUCCUGAAAGCUUUGCCUUCAGGCUUUAAUACCAACUGAAACUCACUCUGAUUAAGCUGGCGCCAUUGCUCUACCAUUAUGUCUCUGAACCCUGCCAUGUUAGAGAUGACCCCACGCUCUAGUUCUGCCAGGUGUAGAGGCCUCUUUACGAGUGACUGGAGGAGAUCUCGUUCCCUGUCUGGCUAAUGCCACUUUAAGUGCACCCAGCCUGCCCUGUGACCUCCCCGGCUUGUCUACUUUAAUGGAUCUCUGGGCAGAAGCUAUAAAAGGAGGCUCUAUGCUUGGAGACUGCAUCUAAGAGAGUCGCAAGCAGACAUGAUUGAGAGGAGGCUUUUAGCUUCUACAGAAGGUCGUUCUUCGUAAAGUGGACCACUAAAGGCUUUCAAAAUAAACUACCUUGUAAAAUGACACAGGUUCAUAUAUCCUGACUUUUGGAGGGAUGACGGCCCAGUGUCAGUCGUGCAGUGUGGUGGGAAGCUAAAAGCCCAUUUAUCUAUCUAUCCAUCUAUCUAUCUAUCUAUCUAUCCAUCCAUCCAUCCAUCCAUCUAUCUAUCUAUCUAUCUAUCUAUCUAUCUAUCUAUCUAUCUAUCUAUCUAUCUAUUUAUUAUUCCAAACCAGAAAUGACAGAAAUGUCCCCAUACACUUUUCAAUUCUCUUCUCUGGCUUCUACGAAUGUCUUAACUGGAGUCAUCUGAGAUGAGGGAACCUUAGCUGAUAAAAUGCCUUCUUCAGAUCGACCACAAUACCUCCUUUAGAUCGGCCACGUUCAGUGUAGCGGGAAAUAUUUAAAAAAGGAGCACCAUCUCACGCUAGCACCGGCACCUCGGGUCACAUGGCACCAGCGUGGGGGUGUUCUCAUCUCAGCCAGCCAGAUUCUGCAGACUCUCUAGCCUGGAGCUCUUGAAAUGUCUAUACCCGACUUGCUGUGUUCCCACGUCAGGUUGCUGCCACGCCAGCCCCAUGCAAUGACUGCCCAUCUCACCGUUGGCUGUCACAAAUUCCUGUAUCCCGGCCAAAUCAAAACUCUUGAAGCUUGUAAUUUAUCAAUCAGAUUUAUAUCAGUAAAUUAUGACCCCAUAAAAUGUCCACACAAUAAAUUCACCUAGAUAAGACAAA